UUGUCCGUUUCACCCUUCUUGUGUGAAGAGAAUAUCAGUUGAACCAGGUGGCUAUCUUGUUUGCACCAUUUGAAGAUUGAAGGUCGAUCCUAGAAAUUUCCUAUUCGUUGAGUCCUAUUUGAACGAAAUCAUUAGCCACUGCUCUCAUUGUGGCCUAUUAAGAGAAAAAAUCACCGGAGGUACAACGCCUACACCAGCUCCCCGCUUCAUCACCAUCGUCGCCGUGCUAUAGAGAUGAAGAUAUAGUCCACCCCUCUCAACACCCUCGGUUGAAUGUGAAGUUGUUGCCCAUACAUUGACAUAUAAACUACAAACAAGUUUAGAGAAGGGGCAGCUGAUUGGGAUGAAAAUUGGGACAAGUUUGAAGAUGAAGGGAAUCUGAAGCCAAGAUGUGCAAGUUGUAGUUGUAUUAUAAUUUUGAUGAACUCUUGCCACUUUCGAGUUUCACAUUUGUCAGAGAGCUCACUCUUGAUGUGGAAAAUGUUGUAGCUCCUCUUCAGUUGUUAGUAAAGCAUCUUCCACAAAAGAGGGUACAUGUUUCAUCAACAAAUGCUGAUCAUAACUCAGAAAGGCCACCAAGUGGAGGGGAAAGAAUUGCCGAUGAUGCUCAUAGCGAAGACAACGCAGAACUUUAGUGUAGAUGGUUCAUCGCAUGCUAGAGAGACCUAGAGGUAUAGGUUUUAAUUUGCAUCUUUCUUGUAUUUUCCUUCUGCGUUGGAUUUGAAAUUUUUUAUUAAUGUCCGAACCUUUAAACCAUUGCACGACAUCUAUCUACACCAAUUGUUUUAUUUGAAAAUCUGAAUUUCUACAUGAUGUUGUUGAUGAAUGAAACUAGGGUGCAUUUGACGCUCAUUCUAAUACCGACUUAGGCUAGGACUUCAGUUCUGAUCCUAUAAAGGUAUAUGAAUACUUCUUGAUUUGAGUGGCAAUCCAGUUUGCUCUGUGCAUUAAUUAGAGAUGCAGUGCAGCCAUGCAUGAUGCAUGUGAAGUUUUGAUCCAUAUCCCUUCGAUCAUUCAGUCUCUCUUUUCUUUGGCGUUGUCCAUGAGAAUCCUUUUUCCAGAAUUUUUGGUUUAAUGUUCUUUUGUAGAUCAUUUUUU